GCUCUCCCAGCAUCUUCCGUCUGGAAGGACCCAGGCAGGCUCUUCAUUUGAGCCUUUCUCUCCCCAAGGAAGGAAGGGAGGAAGAAAAAGGAAGGGCCAUGGAGUUCGGGGACCGAGGCUGGAGAACAUCAGGGACAGCGGAGGCCUCCCCAGCCUGCAAGUCACGGUAGCAGGAAUGCUGAGCUGGACUGAAACUGUAAGGAAAGCCCUAUGUGGGUACAGAACUGUACAGUUUGCAAAGAAAUAUACUGGCUCCGAAGUAUUUAUAAAGCCCUUUCCAUUCACAAAGGAGCAGCCUGGAAGAUGGCGGAGGCCUGGAGGUGUCAUCAAGGCCUAGGAUCAUCCUUACUGCUGGUUCAGAGAGCCCCCACUGCCCCUUGCAGCUGCAGUCAGACGCAUCUAUAACGGUGAGAGGCAGAGAAGAAAGGAAGACAAGAGCACAGGAAAGAAGGGAAGAAGAGAGUGAGAAAGAUGAACCUAAUACUACAUAUCAGAAUACUCGAGAUUUACUAAAAAAUGUU